GGCGAGGGGGGAAUCUCAUAACUCCACCGGUCUCACAGCUACUGACCUUCAAUGAGGACAGGCUGAGCCUGGUCAGUAAUGGCCCCAUCACACGUCUAUUCCAGGUGCAGCGCUAAGCCCUGGAGGUCCUUUAUAUUCUCUAACUGGCACAACUGAUCCAAAAGGAUCUGCUGGCGGAUGGUCUUGACGUACUCAAAGCUGUCAAAGCAGCAGAUGUCGUAGACCAGGAUGUAGGCGUGGACGCUUCGGAGGCCCCUGCAGCAGGUGUCUGCCCACUCCUGCAACACCCCCAAGUCAGUGCCAAGGUCAGAGCAGCCAGGAGGGCUCCCCUAACCCUCAGCCAUCUCCAGCCAUAGACUGACAGCACUCUCACCUGCCACUGCACGCCAAGCCUUCCACACUCACCCAUCCCCAGGAGGCCAGGCCCAGGGCCGAAUGGAGGAGCUUCGUACUGUGGUUUCCCCAUUCUCAAACCAGGACAGGGCAGAUCACACUGCGUGACCUCCAGGGCCACUGCACUGUUCUGUGUACACCUAGAGCUGAGGUCUGCCUUGUCCCAUUUUGUUCUCCAAUCCAUCCAUCCAUCCAUCCAAUCCUUUGUUCAAGUACAUUUAUUAAGUGCCUCUAGAGCCAAGUCCUGAGCUAGUUGCUGUACCUGUUGAAAUCCUAUCUUCCAAGGCUCCAUUCAAAUGCCUCCUCCAUCUCAAAGAAGCCUUCCUGCAACCAAGGGACUACUCCCUUCAUCUCCUGUGUUCUAAGAAACCUUUUAUUAUA